UACGUAGGGUGCAAGCGUUAAUCGGAAUUACUGGGCGUAAAGCGUGCGCAGGCGGUGAUGUAAGACAGAUGUGAAAUCCCCGGGCUCAACCUGGGAACUGCAUUUGAGACUGCAUCGCUGGAGUGCGGCAGAGGGGGAUGGAAUUCCGCGUGUAGCAGUGAAAUGCGUAGAUAUGCGGAGGAACACCGAUGGCGAAGGCAAUCCCCUGGGCCUGCACUGACGCUCAUGCACGAAAGCGUGGGGAGCAAACAGG
rnacentral:rRNA from 1 species